GGCCCUCCUCCGGGUGUUCACUGUCCUAAUUUUCUUCAAGUAGGGUUCCCGGAGCAGGGCCUCUGCUGUAGAUCUUAGGGGGCGGGACAGCAUAUAGGGAAAAAGACAUUCCUUCAGGUAUUCUGGUCCCAAGCCAUUUAGGGCUUUAUAGGUCAAUAGCAGCACCUUAAAUUGGGCCUGGACUUCAGCUUCAGCCAUUAAAUCUUCUGGGACAGAAGUGGGAGGUCAGAGGAAAAGGAAGGGAGGACAAGUCACAGUGACUCUGAUCACCUGCCAGGCAAAUUAUGAGUUGUUGCACAAAUCCAUACCAUAUAGUUUAUUCACAGGGUAGAUUAUCAUAUUGCACAAACUCAUUCAGUCAUUACUUUGAAUCACGUUCUGCUUCCUGCCAUAACAUUGUUGUAUGUUAGCUUGGAAUUUGUUGCUUUUGGACAUUAGUAAUAACAAUGUUAUUUUUCAUCAGGCUUGUGUAUUUAAAAUAUGCUGGGAUUUCAGUCAUGGUUGUCCUUGAUUUUUAACCAAAGUAAAAUAAUCUAGUUGUCUAAAUACAGGAUUAUAGACAUUUUGUCCAUAAUCAAAGACAAGUUAAUUGUGUUGAGUAUUGAUAUUUAAACAAGCUGUAUUUUAAACUCUCCCUAUUCUUAUAUUUGACCGGGGAACUUCCAAGUGCCUUGCUUGCCAGAUUGUUAAAAACAUGAUGCUGAUAUCUAGAAAUGUAAACAUUUCUCAGUGUUCUAUAGAGCUGGUUCCUAGAAAUCUGAUAUGAUUCUUCAGACAUGUUUAAUGAUGAAGAUCCUACAAUUGUUUCCUUAGUUGAAACAUUUUCCUCAAGAACAAUCAGAACUACAGCAAGACCCUCAUAUCCACACAGAUAAGUUCUAAGCCCCUCAGCUGAAACUGUGGAUGAUAGUGACACUGUAUUAUAUGUACUACUAUAUACUAUAUAUGCUUCUUUUUCACAAUUUUGUUUGUUCUUACCUCAACAUAUGAUUUUUUUCUUUCCUUAUUAAAUCAAAAAUUUUCACAUAUAGGAAGCACUUUAUGACUUCUUUUUCUGGCUGAGGUCAAUCAUGAUUAACUGAAAAGGCGGUAAACUGAGCCAGUGGUUACAGGGGUUCUGCAGUAUAUAAAUUUAAGGAUAUAAAGUUCAUAUUUGCAGUUCAAGAUUAAAAUAAACUGGCACUUAGACUGUUUAUCAUAAGAAGUUAAUCCAAAAGUAAAAAGGCCAGAUUCUUGAAUUUGCUUUCUCAAAAUGCUAUUUAUAUAAUAAAAGAGUGACCAAAAUAUUUUUGCAGCUCUGAUAAUUUUAUCUGCUUCAUGAGCUUUUAAUUUGAAAAAUGCUGUAUCAUUAAAAUAGAAGUGGCAUUUAUUGUUUGCCUGAAGCAAGUCACACUUUACCUGGACUAAGCUGGUAUAUUCAAUUAACACUGCUAAUUUGCCUAAUUUGGUGAAAAGUAUUGUGAUAGAGGACUACUCGUGUCAAAACUUUUCUGCUUUUUGGAACCAGAAAAGCUGAGGUACCAAAAUAUAAAAGAAGUCACACAUUAUAUACAUGUGCUUAUUUAUUUGACUGAUUUUCCACAAAAUUGGCCCAAGGGCCCUCUAAGCAGAUUACAAACAGUUAAAACAUCUUCUGACAAUAAAAAUGAAAACAAGUAGAUUAAAAUACAAAAACAGAGACAAUGUGCCAUCUUGAGUGGGUAGAGAUUAGUAAAGGAGCAGGAGGAUGCAUAGCCAUCUCCAAUUUCCAAACCAGCAGAAGUGUGAAUUAAUUUCUAAUUUUAAUGAAUCCAGGCAGUGGUUAUUUAAAAUCACUGUCCCAUCUUUUCCUCUCUUCCUUGCCUUUUUUGAAAUUGCGGUGUACUACUGCGUCCAGCAAUAAAGUAUUUGUCAAAAUCGUGUCUGGCAUGCUAUAUGAACUCUGUAGGAACAGCAGUUCCUGAAAAUGUUUUCCCUCCCCAUUUUUCAUCUUGACCAUUUUUUCUUUUCCCUCCCAAUUUUGCAUGCCUGGUAGCUCUGGAAUGUUGGAAGAAGGAAAUUUGCAAAAUUGUAUCUUCAGUGAGAGCUGGAUGUGAUGAUGAUGGCCAGCAACUUAGACAAAUUCAUGGAGGAUAAAUCUGUGAAUGGCUACUAGCCAUGUUGAUUAUAUGCUACCUCGUGAAUCCAAGGCAGGAGGCCUGUGCAUACCAUUUACUGGGAAAUGACUGAAGGAGAAAGCUGUCGCCCUCAUUUCCUGCUCAUGAGCUUCCCAUGGGCAUCUGGCUUACCACUGUGGGAAACAGGAUGCUGAACUAAAUAGGCCUUUGGUUUAAUCCAGCAGGGCUCGUCUUAUCAUCUUAUGGAAUAUGAGCAGUUCAGUCUUGGAUCUGUUACAUUUGAGACUGCAGUAAUAUCCAGCUAGAAGUGCUGAAGGUGAAGAGUUGCAUGGAAGGGGAAAGAUCUUGGAUCGAAAGCUAUGGCUGAGAGCCCUUGGCUUACAUGUAGUACUGAAAUUCAUAGACUUUGACAAGGUGAUUAGCAUGUAGAAAAAAGAAAAGUAGCAAAGGCCCCCUGAAAAAAAAUCCUCAAGAAACCUAUUGUUGUUACAUGUUGGCAAGUCUUUUUGUACUCAUGGUGACCACACAAAUGAAUGCCUUCCAAAAUGUCUAGUCCUUGACAGCUCUGCUCAGCUCUUGUCAACUUAAGCCUAUGGCAUCCUUUAUGGAAUCAAUCCAUCUCAUGUUUGGUCAAGAACCCUAGUAGGAGAAAACACAGAAUAAAAGCUUCCCCCAGUAAAACUAUUGAAUGCAUGAUCUCAUAGGUAGGAAGAAACCACUUGAGAACACAGUCACAGAGAUUGAGGGUGAUGGGAAUCAAAAAGAAAGUGGGCAGUAAUGUUGUCAUCCAAAGCUAUUCACAAGUGUAAGUGGGAUGUAAAGAAAGAAUUGGCUUUUUAUCGGUGCAACAGAAUCCUGACUUGAUGCACAAAGAAUUGCCUGAUAUUGGAGGGAGUGGGAGGCUUCCUGUUCUGAGGACUUCACAGUUAUAAUGAUUUCACUAUGUAUAAUAUUAAGUUAUCCCCUGCCAGACAACAAAGCCAUUGGGGAAGAGUGUCCUCACUGUGCAUUGUUCUUUUCAUGCGGUAUUUGGAAAGUUUAAGUAAGUUUUCCUUGCCUGUUAAGUAUACAGGUACCUGUAUUGUAAAUGUAGUGUAGAUUCCAACAGAAAGCCUUAUAUAUCUGUACCUGAUUGCUUAUUGCAUGGUAUCAUGGUGUUCCAUUACUACUCUAAAUCCUUAACCCUAGCUUGGAGAUACUCUCUCAUGAAAAAAUGGUGUCAAGGCGAUAAAUAUUUGUAAUGGAUUCGUAAUGUCCUGUUUUUGUUUCUGAAAAUAUGUCUUUGCUUAAUUUAAUCAGAUAUGCUCAGUUAUCUUAAAAACUGAUGGAAAAUGUGUAAUGUGCAAAUAAAAUAAGUGUGUAAAUAGGUACAUGAAUAAAAUAAGUAUAUCCAUGGAAGCUCCUAACAUUCAAAUUAAAUGUCUGAGAAACCAGAAGGAAGAAAGACAAGAGCUUCAGAUAUAUCUUCCACCAUGCCCUAAAGAACUCAAGUGUUCAGUGUUCAUACUUGAUCUGUUGGUUAUUUAAUCUAGCUGCAAUAUAUUCCUGGUGAAUGAGAAUCAAACAUACUGUUCCCAGAUUGACAGAAACUGCUUCCUGAAAUCUGAGUGGCAAAUUGUCACUCAGAUGUGAUGUAACUCUGAAUUGAAUUUUAAAGAUUUGCUUAAAACA